rnacentral:lncRNA from 1 species
AUGAUGACCCAGCAGGUAGAUGUGGCUCCCUCAGUAGCCAAGACAGAGCAAGCCAUUGUUUCAUUCGUGGAACAGGACAUAGAAUUUCUGGCAGGUCUGUCAAACUGGGAAGUGCAUCUCAGGGACACUCAGAAGUACUGGGCGGCCCACCCCCUUCGCCCUUUCCCUCUGCAGCGGAAGGUUGGAAGGAGGGAACUCCCCCAACCAGGGCCCUGCUCCGGGGCCUGUGAACAGAGACAGGACCACCUUCACGGCCAGGGAAGCAGAAGUGGUCCCCCUGCUUUCCCUUCUGUCGGGAGCUGUCAGGAACCUCUCUGCGCUGAACGGUGCUCAGUGACCCUCCAGCAAUUAGAACUCAUUUGCAAGGCAGAGAAGGCCACCGGGCCCUCAGAUCUUUCUCAGCUCCCUCUUCCUGUGUGACUUCUCUGCAGACAGGUGCAUGCUUCUGGCUGCUGCAGGGUCCAGCUGGCGGGAGGACUCUCUACCUUGUCAUCACAGAAAUAAAAUUUGUCACCCCGGUGUUCCCAACCUCUGUUCUUUCAUGUUUAACCAGCGCUUUGAAUCUUUAUAAACAUGUCAGGGUUUCUAUUUUUAUUUCCCAAUUAAUUCAGAAAAGGAGCAGAAGAUGUUGCUAAUGAUAGAAAAGAGAAAGGACACGUAGAACUGAGGGGGCUUUGGUUUUUGAGUUUGAUAAGACAAUUGAGUGAAUAUGGGCAUCCAGCAAUUCGAGCAAUUUCUUGGGCUUGCUUGCCAGUACUUUGGUCAUUCUUGGGGUGUCCUGGAACUGGUCAGACUUAUGAACAGGUCCAGGGGCACCUGGGUGGCUCAGCGGUAGAGCACCUGCCUUUGGCUCAGGGCAUGAUCCUGCAGUCCCGGGAUCGAGUCCCACAUCAGGCUCUCUGCAGGGAGCCUGCUUCUCCCUCUGCCUGUGUCUCUGCCUCUCUCUCUCUGGGUCUCUCAUGAAUAAAUCAAAUCAAUAAAAUCUUAAAAAAAAAUAAUGAACAGGUCUAAACCCAUCAAAUACAGUGAGAAGAUUUUCUUCCGAUACUAACAGACGAUGAUACUUCAUUUUCCCAUGCACGAGGGAGAACAAAAGUUUUUGCAUAUAUUAAUCUUCAGAUUAUUUGAAAUGUAUUGUUUUUAACACUACUUCUGAAAUUAUAUUCUCUGAGUACACUAACCCUAAUUUACCCUUUGUCUUGAUGAUUCAAAAUCAUCUUUCUAAAUACCUACAACUGUGGACUUUAGUGAUAACAGUCUCAGGGGUGUAGUGUUUUAAUUAAAUGAGCAUUUCCUCUGUCCCAUUGUUACCAAAAAGGCUAAAAUAGUAGACAUGAAAUAAUGGAAAGAGUCCUAAACUUAGAGCCAAAACUCUGGUUCUAUGUUUAAUCGUUAAUUAGCUGUUUGACCUUUAGCAACUACCUUAACCUCUCUCUGAAAAUUUAUUUCUUCAUCUCUAAAAAUGGAGGAAUUUGGACCAUUGCAUUCCCAAGGUUGUUUAGAUUUCUAAAAUUUUAUAAUUUUAUGAUGAAGGGCCAGGGUAUGCUGUAAUGUCAAUUGUCCUAAAGGCUUUUGAGUUUAGGAUUAUUUGUUUCUUUAUGAUAUGGUCCCACAUUGCUAAGAUUUUCUAGAUAUUGUGUUGGCUUUGAUGCUUUUCACCAAUCCCUGGGUUGUAAACUACAGCCUCCAGGCCAAAUUCGACCCACCACCUGUUUUUGUAAAUAAAAUUUUAUUGGAACAGAGCCACACUCAUUCACUUACAUCUCUAGCUUCUUUGGAGAACCGAGUAAUCACAGCCGUGAAGGUAUGAGCCAGCCACACUGCCUAAAACAUUUGCUAUCUGAUCUUUAUGGGAAAAGCUUGCCAAUCUCUGCUUUCUUCUUUAAAAAAAAAAAAAUAAUAAUCACACACAAAAAAAUUUUCCCCCUUUCAGUCUAUUACUUUUCAUUGCAAUCACUAUCUCCCUCCAGGAUUUUAGUUUUAAUUUACUAAUCCACCUGGCUAGAGGCUAAGAUGCCAGUCGACACAACUAACCAGAAUUAAGUUCAAAGAAAGAGUCAAUAGGUUCUAACAAAACUUCAAGGGGACGGUCAGGGCAGGUGCCGAGUGCUUGGGCUCUUUAGCUGCUUAGAGAGCCUGGCUUUUCUUAUUUAUGUUUCUGGAUCAUUCUUGAUAGUUAUCCUGUGGAGAUGAAGUCUUACCACCCCUGGAAAUUUCUAGAAAUCGUUGCUUUAAUUUUGCCGAUGGUUCUGGGUUUGCCAUAAAGUCUGCUGCCUGUACGGGUACAUAUACCACCUCAUGCGUGUGGCUUUACCAUCAUGGGGAAGCUCCCUGGGAAGGCAAUGAACUCAACCUGAGACCCAAGGGAUGUCAUGUGUUUCAGCAUCACCCUUCAGCCGCCCUUCCCGCCGUUUGGGUGGACCGGUUGUGAUACUGAUCCUCCAAGUUAUAGAAAAUGAGAUGAGCCCCAAGCCAUCGUGGGCAAGACACUGCGCCUUCCAGUCUCCCCCCUGCAUCCUCCCCUGCGUGUGGCCAGGUGAGUCAGCCUCACCAGAGCAGUGCGUCGUAGGCUCAGGUCAUGAGAAACUGAGACUUUGAUCCCCGUGAAGCCCCUGUUCCUGCUCCACCUGGGUGGCUCAGUGGUUGAGCGCCUGCCUUUGGCUCAGGGCAUGAUCCUGGGGUCCCGGGAUCGAGUCCUGCAUCGGGCUUCCCGCAGGGAGCCUGCUUCUCCCUCUGUCUGUGUCUCUGCUUCUCUCUUUCUGUGUCUCUCAUGGAUAAAUAAAUAAAAUUUUAUUUAUUUUUAUUUUUUAUUUUUUUAAAUAAAAUUUUAAAAGAAAAAGAUUAAAAAAAAUAUUGACUCAGAUAUGUGCCAGGCUUCUGCUAGUUGUUGGAGUUAGAGCAGUAACAAGGACAGAAGAGGCCUUGCCAGGGUGGAAUUCAUAUGUGAUUAACAAGUAAACACGUGAAACAGUUGCAAAUUGUGAUAAGACACAGUGAAGGAUACAAAUGUUAGGAGCCAGCCCUCAAGAGGGAAUGUUUACAAAGAGCCUUAAAAAUCCAGAAGGAGCUUCAUUAUGCAGAUGAGGGAAGAAAGAGCUUCCAGAUGGUGGGCACAGCAUGUGCAAAGAUCCUGAGGCUGAUGGAGCCCAGCUCAACAGGGUGAAUGUGUGGCCUGGGUGGAAGGCCCAGGAGGUGGGCAGGGGCAGGCUGCUCCCGGGGCCGGGGAGGGGGUGGUGGUGGUGGUUAUCGUUGCUGCCAUGGUGAGAGCCCCUUACCAGUUUCACGCAUUCAGGUCUGUACUGAGCGUGUCACUUGUGCUGCCGUGUGGAGUGUCCUCACUGAGACCAGGCACGUGAUAGCCCCAGACCAGACUAAGUUAAAGCUCUGGAGUAGAGAAGGUGAGGAGAACUUUCUUGUGGGUUGAUGUAGAAGUCAAGGAGGGGCGGGGAGGUGCUGGGAUGCUGACAUCUAGCAGGUGGCAUUUCUUGAGAUGAGAGAAGUUGAGGGGAGUGGAAGGACAGAUGUGGGGGGGGGAAAGUCUAAAGUUCUGCUUUGAAGUCAAGUGUGUUGGUGGCACAGGGCACCUUGUGGGGCCGGGAAAACUUGAACCAGGGCAACUGUUCUUAUCCCUGCCAUUCGUGAGUCACUCUGUGCUCGGAUGAAUGACUAGCCCUCCCCCUGCAUACGAACCUCCCCUGGGCACCCCUCCAAACCCAGAUAUAUGCCGUGUCGCACCUUUGUAGUUAGCACCAUCGCCCGCGCGUGGUAGGUGCUCAGGCACCAAGCGUCCCCAGCUCAUUCAGAGAACCCGGUUCCAAAGCAAGAAAAAGAAACUGGUUGAGGGGGAAGCGAUGCCAGGGAAGAGGGACUUUUGUGGUGUCCAGUGACAAAAUGGCUAUUUUUCUAAGAAAGGACUUGGGACACAUGAUGAAGAAACGGGAACACAUCCAGAGGCCCAGCCUUCACAGCACCUGUCUUCACUUGUGUACCUGGAACCUCGGAUCAGCUGUGCCAGGAGCAGGCUCGCACUGCACACCUGUCUUCUCUCUCCUUUUCAUUUCUUCCUCUUUUCCUCCUCUUUGCUCUCUUAUUGGCCCCUUAGAAGAGGGAAAAAAAGGUAAAGUGAUGAAGAGGAGGAAGAGGGAGGGCCAAGUCGUGGGCUUCAUUCAGGUGUAGGGCAAGGGAUGUCAUUUGGAAUACGGAGCUGCUGUCACACACACACACACACACACACACACACACACACACACGAAUGAGUCGUGAGUAAUUUCAUCUCUCAAAACCAGCGCGAUGAACAUUAUUUUCGCUCCACGGUUUUCACUAUUCUGGAAGAUUGAAGCUAGUGAUAGUGGUACCACUUAUUCACCUAAAAGUGCAUUUCUGUGAUAGGUCCCAUGUCCCGGGCUAGUAAUUUUUGACAAUGCAAAAUAAUGAGGGCAGUGUCUUGCGAUUUUUAGCAGCUGAGCAUUUGUUGCAUCGAAAAAAAAAAAUUUAAGUUAUUCCUUUCCCUGUAGGAAAGUAAAGAAAUCCGCGAUAAAAUAAUAAUUAAAUGCUGACAGUGCUAAAUUUCUACCCAGCAUGAGCUGGCAGCGGUUUCGUACCAAAACAUUAGGUCAUUUGAAGAAGAAAAAAAAAUCUGAUUAAAUACCUCUGUAGGCUUCUCUGAUUAGCCGUUCUUAAAAGAGUCUGUGACAGUAAUGAAAGGGUGCAAUUUGACAGCCGUAAUUUCCCCUUGAAAGAAAGGUAACAGAAUAGUGGGUGCGUGUGAGGUUUUUACGGGAAUUUCUUGUUGGUCUUUACUAGUGGGUUUGUUUUACUAAUCACCAGUUUCUUGCAGGUCUGAGGAACCCACCAAGCAGGAAUUAUGUGAGAUGAAAAGUCUUCCGGGGGGUUGAGGCUUGGGGGGGGGGACAAUUUCGAUGCCAGCCUUUCUCUCUUUUCUUCUCGGCGCAGUGGGUUUUGUAUUUCUGGGGUUAAAUGACCUUGACACGGGCAGGUUUGGGAAAUGGAGUGUAGGUUGCAGAGAUCCUCCGUGCAUCCCGUGUAUUAAUUUUCUGCGUCUGGCAGCUCCCAGCGUCUCAUUGUAUUAACUCGCCCUGGCAUGAGGGCUGGAGGC